CCUACGGGAGGCAGCAGUGGGGAAUAUUGCACAAUGGGGGAAACCCUGAUGCAGCGACGCCGCGUGAGUGAAGAAGGAAUUCGUUAUGUAAAGCUCUAUCAGCAGGGAAGAAAAUGACGGUACCUGAGUAAGAAGCCCCGGCUAACUACGUGCCAGCAGCCGCGGUAAUACGUAGGGGGCAAGCGUUAACCGGAUGUACUGGGUGGAAAGGGAGCGUAGACGGGAGUGCAAGUCUGUAGUGAAAGUCGGGGGCUCAACCCUCGGACUGCUCUGGAAACUGUACGGCUGGAGUGCAGGAGAGGUAAGUGGAAUUCCUAGUGUAGCUGUGAAAUGCGUAGAUAUUAGGAGGAACACCAGUGGCGAAGGCGGCUUACUGGACUGUAACUGACGUUGAGGCUCGAAAGCGUGGGGAGCAAACAGGAUUAGAUACCCGAGUAGUC
rnacentral:rRNA from 1 species